rfam:Pasteurella multocida plasmid pCCK381, isolate 381
CGGCGCAUGGCGGGGAUGCCCCGCCAGCGCCUGACCAUCAACCGCCUGCAAAGGAGGCAAACCAAUGGCUAC